rnacentral:rRNA from 1 species
AUACGUAGGUGACAAGCGUUAUCCGGAUUUACUGGGCGUAAAGGGCGUGUAGGCGGUCUUGCAAGUCAGAAGUGAAAUUCCUGAGCUCAACUCGGGCGCUGCUUCUGAAACUGCAGGACUUGAGUGCUGGAGGGGAUAGCGGAAUUCCUAGUGGAGCGGUAAAAUGCGCAGAUAUUAGGAAGAACACCGGUGGCGAAGGCGGUUAUCUGGACAGUACCUGAGGCUGGGGCGCGAAAGCGUGUGGAGCAAACAGGAUUAGAUACCCUGGUUGGCCACGCCGUAAACGAUGAAUACUAGGUGUAGGGGGUAUCGACUCCCUCUGUGCCGCAGUUAACACAAUAAGUAUUCCGCCUGGGGAGUACGGCCGCAAGGUUGAAACUCAAAGGAAUUGACGGGG